UACGAAGGGGGCAAGCGUUGUCCGGAAUCAUUGGGCGUAAAGAGCGUGUAGGCGGCCCGGUAAGUCCGCUGUGAAAGUCCAGGGCUCAACCCUGGGAUGCCGGUGGAUACUGUCGGGCUCGAGUCCGGAAGAGGAGUGUGGAAUUCCGUGGUGUAGCGGUGAAAUGCGCAGAUAUCAGGAGGAACACCAAUGGCGAAGGCAGCACUCUGG
rnacentral:rRNA from 1 species